AUCGGCAGCUGGCUGUCUGCAAUUCUCACAUGGUCGCCCACUGAAGCUAAGCAGGGCUGAGCCUGGUCAGUACCUGGAUGGGAGACCACAUGAGAAAGCCAGAUUGCUGCCGGAA
ensembl:rRNA 5S_rRNA 5S ribosomal RNA